rnacentral:sRNA from 1 species
CUUGGUCAUUUAGAGGAAGUAAAAGUCGUAACAAGGUUUCCGUAGGUGAACCUGCGGAAGGAUCAUUCAUAAUAAGUGUUUUAUGGCACUUUUUAAAUCCAUAUCCACCUUGUGUGCAAUGUCAGUCGUUCUCUUAUGAGAAUGACCAAACAUCAACCUAUUUUUAACUCUUUGUCUGAAAAAUAUUAUGAAUAAAUAAUUCAAAAUACAACUUUCAACAACGGAUCUCUUGGCUCUCGCAUCGAUGAAGAACGCAGCGAAAUGCGAUACGUAAUGUGAAUUGCAGAAUUCAGUGAAUCAUCGAAUCUUUGAACGCAUAUUGCGCUCUUUGGUAUUCCGAAGAGCAUGCUUGUUUGAGUAUCAGUAAACACCUCAAAGCUUUCCAUUUUUUGAAAAGCCUUGGACUUGAGCGAACCCAACACCUUUCUAUUUCAGAUCGGCGGCGGGUUGCUUGAAAUGCAGGUGCAGCUGGACAUUCUCCUGAGCUAAAAGCAUAUUUAUUUAGUCCCGUCAAACGGAUUAUUACUUUUGCUGCAGCUUACAUAAAGGGAGUUUGACCUUAUUGGCUGACUGAUGCAGGAUUUCACAAGGGUCGGCAACGAUUUUUGUAAAACUCGAUCUCAAAUCAAGUAAGACUACCCGCUGAACUUAAGCAUAUCAAUAAGCGGAGGAAAAGAAACUAACAAGGAUUCCCCUAGUAACGGCGAGUGAAGCGGGAUGAGCUCAAAUUUAAAAUCUGGCUGGUUUACUAGUCCGAAUUGUAGUUUAUAGAAGCGUUUUCGGUGGCAGCCUGGGUAUAAAUCCUUUGGAAUAGGGUAUCAUAGAGGGUGAGAAUCCCGUCUUUGACUCAGUGCAUGCUACUAUGUGAUACGUUUUCAAAGAGUCGAGUUGUUUGGGAAU